UCCCUGGUGGUCUAGUGGCUAAGGAGGCCGCACUCUCACCACAGCCUGGGUUCAAUUCCCCGGCAGGGAA